CCACCACUUGGGGAUAACCUUGCGAAAGUAAGACUAAUACCCAAUGAUAUCUCUAGAAGACAUCUGAAAGAGAUUAAAGAUUUAUCGGUGAUGGAUGGGGAUGCGUCUGAUUAGCUUGUUGGCGGGGUAACGGCCCACCAAGGCGACGAUCAGUAGGGGUUCUGAGAGGAAGGUCCCCCACAUUGGAACUGAGACACGGUCCAAACUCCUACGGGAGGCAGCAGUGAGGAAUAUUGGUCAAUGGACGAGAGUCUGAACCAGCCAAGUAGCGUGCAGGAUGACGGCCCUAUGGGUUGUAAACUGCUUUUAUAAGGGAAUAAAGUGAGUCUCGUGAGACUUUUUGCAUGUACCUUAUGAAUAAGGACCGGCUAAUUCCGUGCCAGCAGCCGCGGUAAUACGGAAGGUCCGGGCGUUAUCCGGAUUUAUUGGGUUUAAAGGGAGCGUAGGCCGGAGAUUAAGCGUGUUGUGAAAUGUAGAUGCUCAACAUCUGAACUGCAGCGCGAACUGGUUUCCUUGAGUACGCACAAAGUGGGCGGAAUUCGUGGUGUAGCGGUGAAAUGCUUAGAUAUCACGAAGAACUCCGAUUGCGAAGGCAGCUCACUGGAGCGCAACUGACGCUGAAGCUCGAAAGUGCGGGUAUCGAACAGGAUUAGAUACCCUGGUAGUCCGCACGGUAAACGAUGGAUGCCCGCUGUUGGUCUGAAUAGGUCAGCGGCCAAG
rnacentral:rRNA from 1 species